rnacentral:rRNA from 1 species
AGUCGAACGCGAAAGCCCCCUUCGGGGGACAAGUAGAGUGGCGCACGGGUGAGUAACACGUAGGUAAUCUACCUUUGGAUGGGGAAUAACAACCGGAAACGGUUGCUAAUACCGCAUAAUGCAGCGGCACCUAAUGGUGACAGUUGUUAAAGCGGGGGAUCGCAAGACCUCGCGUCUGAAGAGGAGCCUGCGGCAGAUUAGCUAGUUGGUAGGGUAACGGCUUACCAAGGCGAUGAUCUGUAGCCGGCCUGAGAGGGCGGUCGGCCACACUGACACUGACAUACGGGUCAGACUCCUACGGGAGGCAGCAGUCGGGAAUUUUGGGCAAUGGGCGAAAGCCUGACCCAGCAACGCCGCGUGAAGGAUGAAAUCCCUCGGGAUGUAAACUUCGCAAGAACGGGAAGAAUAAGUCGGUGUGAACACCACCGAUGAUGACGGUACUGUUUGUAAGCUCCGGCUAACUCCGUGCCAGCAGCCGCGGUAAUACGGGGGGAGCAAGCGUUGUUCGGAUUUACUGGGCGUAAAGGGCGCGUAGGCGGCCACCGCAAGUCGACUGUGAAAUCUCCGGGCUUAACCCGGAACGGUCAGCCGAUACUGCGGGGCUAGAGUGCAGAAGGGGCAACUGGAAUUCUCGGUGUAGCGGUGAAAUGCGUAGAUAUCGAGAGGAACACCUGCGGCGAAGGCGGGUUGCUGGGCUGACACUGACGCUGAGGCGCGAAAGCUAGGGGAGCGAACGGGAUUAGAUACCCCGGUAGUCCUAGCCUUAAACGAUGAAUGCUUGGUGUCUGGGGUUUUAUAGUCCCCGGGUGCCGUCGCUAACGCUUUAAGCAUUCCGC